ensembl:snRNA U6 U6 spliceosomal RNA
UUGUAAGCCAAGAAGCAUUUGUACUAAAAUUGGAAUGACAGAAUAUUAACAUGGUCCCUGCACAAAGAUGACAUGAAAAUUUGUGAAGCUUUCCAUAUUUUU